UGUCUUUGUACAAUAUCUGUCUGCAGGAUCUGUAAUGCACUGCAGCUUUAAGCUCUCAUUCUCACUUUGCUUCAACAUGUGUGUCUUACAGCUGAUCACUGCCACAGUUACUGGGACACGAACGGUGUCUUCCAUGAUACUCAGGAAUGUGAAAAGUACUGCUGUGGGGACUGCAGGACAAAAUACUGCUGCAGUGACAUAAAGUACAACUUUACUGAGAAAAAACAGGAACUCUGUUUCAGAAGGUCUGCUCGAGUGAAAAGAAGCUAUCAUGUAGAGUAUGUGGGAAUAGGGGUUCCUAUUCCCAUUCUCGUAUGCACGGGUCUCAUAAUCUGCUGUGUGACUCGUUGCUGCUGCUGCUGCUGCUGCAGGACAUCCAAAAAGAAAAAUCCCAGACGAGAAAUAAUCAUGUUAACCACGGUCUAUCAGCCUGUACCAGCAGCCACACCCAUGCUCACAACUCCACCACCCUCCUACCAGGAAAGUGUCCCAUUCACACAAUUGCAGCCAAUGCACUCCUUUCAACGGGUCAGCGAGCCUUCUGCAGCAGCAUUACAUUCAGAUGAGCUGGAGGAGCUUGAACCUUGUCAUGGACCACAAUCUGUAAAAAAGGCUAAGAUCCAAAAGAACUCAUCUAUAUCCGUCUAAAAAGGGACUUCAUGUUACAAGAUACACGAUAACACAGAGUUCAGAAAUAUUUACGCGUGACUGUGCUAAUGCUAAGAGGGUAGAGUUCGUAAGAGAGUAUAAUACCUCACCAUGAGCAGAUAAUCAUUGUGAACAAAGUUAACAGCUGCUUACAAAGUCAUGAUCUCUUUAUUUAUCCGGGGAAGCAAUGUUGAAGUGGUGACUGGUAGAUGUACAGUCUCAGCUCUUUUGAUGAUUUUUAUUUAGUUUUGUUUUAGUUUAAAUGGGUUUGUAUGAUUUAUUGUGAAAGAUAUAAUAAAAAACAACUUCUGUAUAUUAUAUUGUGAUGUGUUGUGAUUGAGCUACAUGUUUUUCUCUGUCCAGAUGCUUAAAUAAAUAUUCCAUUUACAAUGUAAA